rnacentral:rRNA from 1 species
AUGGACGGGUAUUCUCUCACUGAAUCACACUACACAGUUCUACAGAAUUCUGCCUUGGUGGCUCCGUAUAUGGAGGAACACAAGAAUUUUCUACACUCCAAACACCCGAAGAAGUCUGACGACUGGAUUACACGUGAACAAACGAGGACUUUCACCGGUUGGUUGCAGAAACGUGCCAUGCAUGAUGGCGAUAUUGAAGAUGACCUGUACUCGUUGUCCCAGUUACCAUCUUCGAAUAUAAUAACUUUCAAAGGGUACCAGAUAAAUGGGAAUACAUUUUACACGAUCGCCCAAGAUAAGAAGAGCACCAACCAAAACAGUGAUGUCUGCUUUGAUGCAACAACCAACACGGGAAAUGAAACAUAUUAUGGUUACAUAGAGGACAUAUGGGAACUUAACUAUGGAGGUGGUUUGAAGGUCCCUUUGUUUCGGUGCAAAUGGAUCAAUAUGACACGAGGCGGGGUAACGGAAGACCCGCAGUACGGAAUGACAACAGUGGAUCUCAACAAUCUUGUGUAUGUGGACGAACCAUUCGUCCUAGCCAAUGAUGUGGCGCAGGUUUUUUAUGUGAAAGACAUGUCUACCAGGCCGAGAAAAAGAAAAGAUAAGGAAGCGAAUGGAUCAUACGACGAGCCAAAGCGCCACAUAGUUCUUUCAGGGAAAAGAAACAUCAUGGGAGUGGAUGACAAGACAGACAUAUCAGAAGAUUAUGAAAAGUUUAACGAAAUUGCUCCAUUCACAGUGAAUAUUGACACGAGCAUCCAGUUAAAUGAUGAAGAUUUUCCAUGGCUACGGCGCAAAGGGACACACGCGAAGAAAAAGUUUCACACCCAAAGAUCUGGGAUGUGA